rnacentral:lncRNA from 1 species
CCACUCUGGAGGAAGCGUUAGAGGCAGCUCCACCUGACAAUGGAAAUGAGUGUGGGCACAUUUCCAGAGGAACACGUCUUGGGUGUAUACAGAAAGAGAAGAAAGAACAUUGAAUGUGAA